GAAACAUAUAUCACCCUGCUUACUGCUCUGUUCCAGAUCUUAGUUGAUCUUCGAGAAUUCCGUAGUGAUCUCCCCUCUCUCAUUCACAGAAGAGGUAUAGAUAUUGAACCUAUUACCAUAGAGGUUGGAGAUUAUAUAUUGACUCCAGAGACAUGUGUCGAAAGGAAAAGCCUGAAUGACCUGAUUGGU